rnacentral:tRNA from 1 species
UGCCCGAUCGUCUAAAGGUAGGACAACAGCCUUUGGAGCUGUGUAUUCAGGUUCGAAUCCUGAUCGGGCAU